GUGUGAUUGUUGGAUACGGGCAGGCAAAAGUGCCCUCUCCUGAUUGUGUACCAGUGACAGCAUUCCCUACUUGUUUUUCUAGUAAGUCUGUGCGAUAACAGACCAAAUUAAUGGAACAAUAAAUUCAACCCUAAAUAUAGAUGAGAACAACCACCGAAAUUUUCUAGAAUCGUGCAGUCCACUUAUAUGUAAAUCAUGAAUGGAAACGACACUUUGUAACAAGCAUUCUUUCUGCUACUGUUCAAGCCUCUGGAUCACUUCACAUGGACUGGCACUGAGGGAAGUAAAAACAUUUAAAAAAACAACAACAAAAAACAAUUUGGAACUUUUCAUAAUAUUCUGUAGAGGAAGGUACAGGAGAACAUCUCAGCUAAUGUAUGAAAAUCUCUUGCAGGUCAAAUAUCCUCCAGCAUAUGUCUGAGUUAAUUGAUACAUUUUCUAUCAGAGAAGGCUAAAAAAAAAACCAACAACAACAAAAAACAAAAACAAACCAACAAACAAACAUCAUCACUUCCUUCUACCUGUGUUGAUACUAAAGUUAACGAGUAUUUGUCUAAGAAGACUUUAUAAUGGCAAACACAGAACAAAUGACUAAACUCUUCAUGUGAACUUCAUGUGAACUCUUACAUUCAUGAGAACGCCUCAGUUUGUAGAUACGACAGCACUAUGUUGGAGGAUAACACAGGGACCUAGAUCAAAGUUCAAAAAUGGCAGAGCUGAAGAAUGAAGAGGACUCAGGCAUGGGACCAGCAUUCAACCAGCACAUAAGUACCCUGCUAUCAGCCUCAUAAUCUGACCAUUUAAAAGACCUGGAACAGGGGCGCCUGGGUGGUGCAGUCAGUUAAGCAUCCGACUUCAGCCAGGUCACGAUCUCAAGGUCCGGGAGU